CUUCAACUACCCCGAUUUAAUUUAACUAUGAUUAAUUGCCUGUAGAAGAAACAAUAAAGUUUCGAAAUAUUGCAAGUAA